UUCUGGUCCAAGUGCAGUGGUGUUUAUAACCAAUCGAUCACAACAAGUUACAGAUUCCUUUGUUCCUUCUCCACUCCCACUGCUUCACUUGACUAAACAAAA
rnacentral:Y_RNA from 1 species